CCCGGUCGCCGUAAACCCGAGGGUUCCUGGGUAAAGAUCAUCUUCUCAGGGUUAGUCGGUCCCUAAGGCGAGGCAGAAAUGCGUAGUCGAUGGGAAGCAGGCGAACAUUCCUGCACCAGCACGGAUGGUUUUGUAAGGUGGGACGGAGGAGGAUAGCCGAGCGACCUGUUGGAUGGUCGUUCAAGCCGGUAGGCGGUUCGCGUAGGAGGCAUCUGGCCACAAACGCGCGAGCAACGCCGAGAGGUGAUGAGGGUCGCCGCAAGGCGGACAACUCGGUGAGUCCAAGCUUCCAAGAAAAGCAUCGUACAAGUGUACCGCUGUGCUGACCGUACCGUAAACCGACACAGGUGGGUGGGGAGAACAUCCCAAGGCGCUUGAGAGAACUCGGGUUAAGGAACUCGGCAAAUUGACACCGUAACUUCGGGAGAAGGUGUGCCCUUGAGGGUGACGGGCCUCGCGCCAUGAGCCUUUGGGGGUUGCAGAGAAUCGGGGGUAGCGACUGUUUACCAAAAACACAGGACUCUGCGAAGUCGCAAGACGACGUAUAGGGUCUGACGCCUGCCCGGUGCCGGAAGGUUAACAGGAGAUGUCAGCGCAAGCGAAGCAUCGAAUCGAAGCCCCGGUAAACGGCGGCCGUAACUAUAACGGUCCUAAGGUAGCGAAAUUCCUUGGCGGGUAAGUUCCGUCCUGCACGAAUGGCGUAACGACUUCCCCACUGUCUCGACCCGGGACUCAGCGAAAUUGAAAUCGGGGUGAAGAUGCCCCGUACCCGCGGCAAGACGGAAAGACCCCGUGAACCUUUACUGCAGCUUGGCACUGGUUUUCGGACUUGUCUGUGUAGGAUAGGUGGGAGGCUAUGAUGUGGGGCCGCUAGGUUCCACGGAGCCAACGUUGAAAUACCACCCUGAGAAGUCUGAAAGCCUAACCGUGACCAGUGAGCCUGGUCCGGGACACUGCCUGGUGGGUAGUUUGACUGGGGCGGUCACCUCCGAAAGAGUAACGGAGGCGCGCAAAGGUUCCCUCAGGCUGAUUGGAAACCAGCCGAAGAGUGUAAAGGCAUAAGGGAGCUUGACUGCGACUCAUACAAGAGGAGCAGGCACGAAAGUGGGCCUUAGUGAUCCGGUGGUUCUGAAUGGAAGGGCCAUCGCUCAACGGAUAAAAGGUACUCCGGGGAUAACAGGCUUAUCACGCCCAAGAGUUCACAUCGACGGCGUGGUUUGGCACCUCGAUGUCGGCUCAUCGCAUCCUGGGGCUGUAGUAGGUCCCAAGGGUUUGGCUGUUCGCCAAUUAAAGCGGUACGCGAGCUGGGUUCAAAACGUCGUGAGACAGUUUGGUCCCUAUCUGCCGUGGGCGCAGGAAUCUUGAAGUGGAGCUGUCCCUAGUACGAGAGGACCGGGAUGGACAGACCCCUGGUGUUCCGGUUGUUUUGCCAAGAGCAUCGCCGGGUAGCCAUGUCUGGAACGGAUAACCGCUGAAAGCAUCUAAGCGGGAAGCCAACCACAAGAUGAGGAUUCCCUGAAGGUCCGUCGUAGACGACGACGUUAAUAGGCCGGGUGUGGAAGCGCGGCGACGCGCGGAGCUAACCGGUACUAAUCGACCGUUCGGCUUGACCUUG
rnacentral:rRNA from 1 species